rnacentral:RNase_P_RNA from 1 species
CGCUCUUUGUAUACUACAAAGGGAGGAAAGUCCGGGCUCCAGAGGGCAGGGUGCCAGGUAACGCCUGGGAGGUGUGAACCUACGGAAAGUGCCACAGAAAAUAUACCGCCUGUUAAUACCUGUUGAGCAUUAUCAGGUAAGGGUGAAAUGGUGCGGUAAGAGCGCACCGCGCGACUGGUAACAGUCGUGGCAGGGAAAACCCCACCCGGAGCAAGACCAAAUAGGAAUCCUGCCUGUCUUCACGACAGGCGCACACGGCCCGUGUGGGAUUCGGGUAGGUCGCUUGAGGCAUGCGGUGACGCAUGCCCCAGAUGAAUGAUUGUCCGCG